rnacentral:lncRNA from 1 species
AGUGACAAACUCAUCCUUCCCGGGAAGGAGCUGCCAUGUUGCUCUAGGAUCUGUAAGAACACACAUUUUUUCUUUCUUUCAGCAGCAAAACCCGGCACUCGAAGACUGAAUAGCUUCUUUUGGUCAUUUAUUUUCUUUUACUAAACCCCUCCAGAUAAGGGCAUUGAGCUGUUUGAUAGGAGCCGGGAACUUGUCUGGCUCUGUGCAGAUGAAGGUAGAGCUAAACCAGUUUGCUGACCUGUGGGUCAAACUGGCGUCCAUCACCGUACCUUCCAGCCGCCCGCUGGUGAUUGUGGCCAUUCCCGUUUGCUCUCUGACCUUUUAAGUCUCUCCCCUUCAAGCUCGUAGUGAUGUCUAUCAAAUUUUGCAUCCCGUUUUCCCAUGAUUCUGCCUUUUCAUUGUCAUUUUCCUGUUUAACUUUUCAAUAGACCAGUGACGGGAGAUGCACACAGCCAGAGCUAUUCACAGCAUCACUUCCUCCCUGCUCGGUGCCUUCCCCACCACUCCCAGCCUGAACCAGGACAAGGGGCUGCUGGCUUCUUCUUUACCUCCAGCCUAGGGCUGCAGAAGUAAAAGGCCACAUCCUGAGUUUGGAAAUGUGGUGCUCAAUCCAGCGCCAGCCCCUUCCCAGUUGCAAAGGUGUUAAAUGCAGCACAACUGAUCUUUCAGUCCAAACGCUUACAGUUUGAAACAAACCGGGAAUCUGCCUUACUCUUCGGAUGGUGAACGGUCCCCUGGAGCUGUGUGCUCGGAGUGCUGCAGCUGCCGCCGACGGGCGAUGGGAACCACUCUUGGGAGCCACCUGGGGCUCAGCACCGCGACAUUCCCUGCUUUCAGUCUGCGAAGAGCAAAACGCUGCCGCGGAGCGUUCGCAGGUGCAAAAGCCGACGGCUCCAGCGCGCAGUGCUGCGGGACGGGGCGGGGGAGGCAAGCACUGUGAGUAGAGGUGACACGGAAACGUCGUCCCCGAGUGGGCAAGGAACACAGCAUGGGCGGGGCCGGGAAGCGCCUUUGGAACAGUUUUUGCUGUCGGGGAGUAGGAACACCACUCAGCUUUCCUUUGGAGGGUGGGCGGUGGGAAUUUGUUUUCUUAUUUUGUCGUCAGCGCUCUGGGACAGGCGGCUGCGCUCAGCAGCACAACCGAUCUUUCCCUGCGUUACCGCCCGGCUCCUUCUAUCGGGAGGGAGCGAGCUGCACCGCAUCCCUCUUCGGCCCUUCUGCCCCGCUGCCCGGCUCCCUGCCUGUCCG